AGUGAGGAAUAUUGGGCAAUGGGCGCAAGCCUGACCCAGCCAUGCCGCGUGCAGGAUGACAGCCCUACGGGUUGUAAACUGCUUUUAUACUCCAAGAACAACUCCUACGUGUAGGAGCUUGACGGUAGAGUAAGAAUAAGCACCGGCUAACUCCGUGCCAGCAGCCGCGGUAAUACGGAGGGUGCAAGCGUUAUCCGGAUUUAUUGGGUUUAAAGGGUGCGUAGGCGGAAUAAUAAGUCAGCGGUGAAAUCCUGCAGCUUAACUGUAGAAUUGCCAUUGAUACUGUUAUUCUUGAGUAUAGUUGAGGUGGGCGGAAUGUAUAAUGUAGCGGUGAAAUGCUUAGAUAUUAUACAGAACACCUAUUGCGAAGGCAGCUCACUAAACUAUAACUGACGCUGAUGCACGAAAGCGUGGGGAGCGAACAGGAUUAGAUACCCUGGUAGUCCACGCCGUAAACGAUGAUUACUCGUUGUGUGCGAUACACUGUACGCGACUGAGCGAAAGCAUUAAGUAAUCCACCUGGGGAGUACGAUCGCAAGGUUGAAACUCAAAAGAAUUGACGGGGGCCCGCACAAGCGGUGGAACAUGUGGUUUAAUUCGAUGAUACGCGAGGAACCUUACCUGGGCUUAAAUGCAGAACGACAGUUCCCGAAAGGGAACCCUCUUCGGACGGACUGCAAGGUGCUGCAUGGUUGUCGUCAGCUCGUGCCGUGAGGUGUCGGGUUAAGUCCCAUAACGAGCGCAACCCCUAUCGUUAGUUGCCAGCGGAUAAUGCCGGGGACUCUAACGAAACUGCCGCUGUAAGGCGAGAGGAAGGUGGGGAUGACGUCAAAUCAGCACGGCCCUUAUGUCCAGGGCUACACACGUGUUACAAUGGUCGGUACAAAGGGCAGCUACCUGGCGACAGGAUGCUAAUCUUUAAAGCCGAUCUCUAGUUCGGAUUGGAGUCUGCAACUCGACUUCAUGAAGUUGGAAUCGCUAGUAAUCGCGUAUCAGCAAUGACGCGGUGAAUACGUUCCCGGGCCUUGUACACACCGCCCGUCAAGCCAUGGAAGCUGGGGGUACCUAAAGUCCGUAACCGUAAGGAUCGGCCUAGGGUAAAACUAGUGACUGGGGCU
rnacentral:rRNA from 1 species